rnacentral:rRNA from 1 species
UACGGGGGGGCAAGGCGUUGUUCGGAAUUACUGGGCGUAAAGGGCUCGUAGGUGGCCAACUAAAGUCAGACGUGAAAAUCCCUCGGCUUAGCCGGGGAACUGCGUCUGAUACUGGAUGGCUUGAGUUUGGGAGAGGGAUGCGGAAUUCCAGGUGUAGCGGUAGAAAUGCGUAGAUAUCUGGAGGAACACCGGUGGCGAAGGCGGCGAGUCCUGGACCAACACUGGACACUGAGGAGCGAAAGCCAGGGGAG